GGUCUUCAGUCUGCAGCUCACAUAGCCUUAAGUGUCCACAGGCUGGUUCUGAGUGUGCUGUGAAAGACCUAAGCAGUGAAGUUGAGUUACUUACCUCAGAUCUGGCUAUGGCUGAUGAAAAUUACACAGCUACAACAAGAUUAUUUUUUGUGAAGAAGACACAAUAAGAAGAAAUGGUGGAUACUUGAUUUGCUACCUUGUGUUUGUUGCUGUUGUCUACAAAGGAAAGGCUAAUUUGAAUCAUUGGCAGUGGUAUUUAAGCUCACCAUAGGGAAGAAAACAUCAGAGCCAGGAUCCGCAGAGCCAUUUCCCGGCCCCUCACAGCACGACCCAGCCCUACUGGGUACACUGGCAGCCGUAUUACUUCCUGAGGAAGUCUAAGGUUUGAUGUUUGCUCUGUGAAGCCCUACACAUCCUUAGCAGUUGCAACCAGUCCUCUGG